rnacentral:rRNA from 1 species
GAUGAACGCUGGCGGCGUGCCUAAUACAUGCAAGUCGAGCGAACAGACGAGGAGCUUGCUCCUCUGACGUUAGCGGCGGACGGGUGAGUAACACGUGGAUAACCUACCUAUAAGACUGGGAUAACUUCGGGAAACCGGAGCUAAUACCGGAUAAUAUAUUGAACCGCAUGGUUCAAUAGUGAAAGACGGUUUUGCUGACACUUAUAGAUGGAUCCGCGCCGCAUUAGCUAGUUGGUAAGGUAACGGCUUACCAAGGCAACGAUGCGUAGCCGACCUGAGAGGGUGAUCGGCCACACGGGAACUGAGACACGGUCCAGACUCCAAAGGGAGGCAGCAGUAGGGAAUCGUCCGCAAUGGGCGAAAGCUUGACGGAGCGACGCCGCGUGAGUGAUGAAGGUCUUCGGAUAGGAAAACUCUGUUAUUAGGGAAGAACAAAUGUGUAAGUAACUAUGAACGUCUGGACGGUACCUAAUAAGAAAGCCACGGCUAACUA